rnacentral:miRNA from 11 species
CGUUUUGCAGGUUUGCAUCCCAGC